rnacentral:rRNA from 1 species
GACGGACGCUGGCGGCGUGCUUAACACAUGCAAGUCGUACGGUAAGGCCCUUUCGGGGGUACACGAGUGGCGAACGGGUGAGUAACACGUGAGUAACCUGCCCACAACUUUGGGAUAACGCUAGGAAACUGGUGCUAAUACUGGAUAUGUGCUCCUGCUGCAUGGUGGGGGUUGGAAAGCUCCGGCGGUUGUGGAUGGACUCGCGGCCUAUCAGCUUGUUGGUGGGGUAGUGGCCUACCAAGGCGGCGACGGGUAGCCGGCCUGAGGGGGUGACCGGCCACAUUGGGACUGAGAUACGGCCCAGACUCCUACGGGAGGCAGCAGUGGGGAAUAUUGCACAAUGGGCGCAAGCCUGAUGCAGCAACGCCGCGUGCGGGAUGACGGCCUUCGGGUUGUAAACCGCUUUCAGCAGGGACGAAGCUUUUUGUGACGGUACCUGCAGAAGAAGCACCGGCUAACUACGUG